rnacentral:rRNA from 1 species
UACGGGGGGGGCAAGCGUUGUUCGGAAUUACUGGGCGUAAAGGGCUUGUAGGUGGCCAACUAAGUCAGACGUGAAAUCCCUCGGCUUAACCGGGGAACUGCAUCUGAUACUGGAUGGCUAGAGAUUGGGAGAGGGAUGCGGAAUUCCAGGUGUAGCGGUGAAAUGCGUAGAUAUCUGGAGGAACACCGGUGGCGAAGGCGGCAUCCUGGACCAACACUGACACUGAAAAGCGAAAGCCAGGGGAGCAAACGGG